UGACCACACAAAAGAAGACGAGAGAAAUUAAAUUAACCCUGCUAAUGCUAACUUGCGCCUUCUCUCUCUCUGUGCUCUGUGCUCUGUAAUGUAGUAUGUUAGUAAUGUUUAUGUUAAUGUUCUCUCUCACACUCUCUGUUUCACACCGCUUCCAGCUCAUGCCAUCACUCAGUUUGAUGUUGUUGUUGUGAUUUUCUACAUAGCUCAAUCUAUUCGGUGCUAUUUGGAGCUUCUCUUUCUUUCUCACCAACUUUACUAGGAAUCAAACACCCUGGACUUGGCGAGCUUUCUUGUCACACUGACAAUGUUUUUGUUUUCUUUCAAUUGAAUUUUCCCUUCUACCACUGUGAGUGUUUACUCUGCUCUGAGUUUUCCAAGUUGAGUAGUACUUGUUUUCUGGGCAACUGAAAAGGAACGAUCUCGAUUUGCACUCUUUAGAGGGAAAAGUCUUUGACUUUGAGGAUAAUGUAGCCACCCUUUGGGAAUUGUGGAGUGUUAGUGUUUAUUGUAGGAGCUCUGCUCUGAGCAUUGAAGAAGAAAAUGUUCGGAUUCUCUCGUAGGCACAUGAAACUUGGCAGUAGAUUGAAGGUCCAACUUUCUGAUACUACCCAGGGAACUAGAAGUCCCAUCAGGCACCAUAAGCGAAAUGUAAACUCCACUGGUGAUAGAGUUGCAGGGACAAGUGGCCAUUCUGAGGAAAUUGAUUGCCCGCUUUCGUCUGCAGCACCUGAGAUGCAUACUUGUACAGCAGGCAGCUCAGAGAACUGGAUGGUGUUGUCAAUUGCAGGGAAUAAGCCCACUCCUAGAUCCCAUCAUGCUGCAGCUGUCAUUCAGAAUAAAAUGAUAGUGGUUGGUGGUGAAUCUGGAAGUGGAUUGUUAGACGGCGUACAGGUGCUAAAUUUUGACAGAUUUUCAUGGACCACGGCAUCGUCUAAACUUUACUUGUCACCAAGCAGUCUUCCACUAAAGAUUCCGGCUUGCAAGGGGCAUUGUUUGGUUUCUUGGGGGAAAAAGGCACUCCUCAUUGGAGGGAAAACAGAUCCAGCAAGCGACAAAAUUUCUGUAUGGGCGUUUGAUACAGAGACAGAGUGCUGGUCACUCAUGGAAGCAAAGGGAGACAUACCAGUUGCUCGCAGUGGUCACACUGUUGUUAUGGCUAACUCUGUUUUAAUAUUGUUUGGAGGAGAAGAUGCAAAAAGGAGGAAACUGAAUGAUCUACAUAUGUUUGAUCUCAAAUCCUUGACAUGGCUUCCUCUCCACUGCACGGGAGCAGCACCUUGUCCAAGAUUCAACCAUGUGGCAGCUCUUUAUGAUGGUAAAAUUCUUUUUAUAUUUGGAGGAGCAUCAAAAUCUAGGACCUUGAAUGACUUGUAUUCACUUGACUUUGAAACAAUGGCAUGGUCAAGAAUAAAAAUACAUGGUUUCCAUCCAUCACCAAGAGCUGGUUGCUGUGGUGUUUUAUGUGGCACUAAAUGGUAUAUUACAGGGGGUGGAAGCAAGAAAAAACGACAUGGGGAGACUUUGGUAUAUGAUGUUGUAAAAAGUGAAUGGUCUGUGGCAAUUACGUCACCUCCAUCUUCUAUUACUACCAACAAGGGUUUUAGCGUAGCACUUGUGCAACACAAGGAUAAAGAUUUCCUUGUUGCAUUUGGGGGAUCCAAAAAGGAGCCAUCAAAUCAGGUGGAAGUGUUGAUAACAGAAAAAAUUGAAUCAGUCCUGGGAAGACGACCAACUUCUACCAAAGAUCCAAGAUCUAUACUUCUUGAAAAACAUUCAUUAUCUGCUGGAUUGGCUUCUCAACUUAAAAAUGAUUCUUCGCAACAUUUGAUUAACUCUGUUGCUCGACAAAAUCUUGCGUCUGUAAUUGAACAUAGUUCUGAAAGAAAAUCUCUCUCAGAAUCCCUACUUGUACAAGAUUCCAAUUCUCUCCCUACCAACAUCUCCCUUCGCAGGCAAUUUGAUCAUGAUGAAGAAUGCAAUGCAGAUGUCAGGAUUGACAAGCAUUCAGAAGAUGAAAGUUCUUUCCCUCGGAAUUCACUUCAGGCAGCUGAUCACAAAACAAAUCAAAAUGACCCUCGAAAUCACAUGAGCAGAAGUGGAGCCAAAACCAACAUGGAGGAACAGGUGUCAGUAUCUAGAAGUUCAAAUCAGAAAAACCUCGGUUUUGGAAACCCCGUGCUAGAAAGUGAUGAUGUGUCAUUCCCUGAAAACAGUAAAUCAGGAUCACUGUCCGCUGCUUCAGACAUCCAUCAUUACUAUGAAACUAAAGUGGCUUCCCUAAUGAGAAAAUUUGGCAUUCUGGAGGGACAAUUGGCAGUUGCAUUAGCAAGCAGAGAAGCUUCUGAGAAAAGCUUAGCAUCUGCCUUUAAAAGCAGGCAGGAGAUGGAGAGAAAAUUGGCUGACACACUGAAGGAGAUGGAAUUACUGAGAGAGAAGCUGGUGAGUGCAGAGUUAGUUCAAGAAGAAGCUAACAACCUAUCCAACAUGGUCCAUGCUGACAAUGUAAGGCUUGAGCAUGACGUGGCUUUCCUCAAGGCUGUUUUAGAUGAUACUCAAAAGUAGGAAUUGCACUCAACCAGAGGGGUUCUUGCAGCAGAAAGAACUAGGGCAUUCCAAUUACAGGUUGAAGUUUUUCAUCUCAAACAGAGACUUCAAUCAAUGGAAAAACGAGCCCCUACUCCCAGGAAACCUUUUCAAGUGUAGUGUUUUGAAAGGCCAAUGAUGUCAUGCCUAUGAAUUUCAGCAUAAAUGAUGAGACAAUACUCCUAUAUUAUGAGGACACAAUCUAUUAAGGGAAGGGAAAGUUAAUGGUGGCGUUGAAGACUUGGAUGGACCAGCUCCAAAGAAAAAGAAGCACAAUUAAUGGAACUGCCCUUUGGCUGAGAAAAUUGGAUCUGUACAUAUGUUUUAAUCACUGACCUCCACGGCUCCACCAUUGUCAUUAUGUAAUUAGUUUAUUAAAUAAUAAAUUAACAUUUCCUCAAAA